UAAGCCUGAAAAGAGCUGGUUCACAGCCACA
rnacentral:piRNA from 1 species